rnacentral:lncRNA from 1 species
AAAUAUUUGGGUUACUUGCUACAUAGUUCAACUUUUAACUAUUAUUCCUGCAACAAUUCAUUAAUAUUUAUAUUUCUUCCUCCGAUUUGUUACUGUUAGAAAACUGUUUAUUUUUUAACAGCAAUAUCAAUUUUGUUAUCACAAAUAUAUCCCUUUAAAAAUCCUAAUUGUUAUAAUCAUGCAAAAAUAUUCUCCCAAAAUAUUUUUAAUAGUCAUCUUCUUUCUGUUUAAAAUCCAGCUCAAUCCACUAUUAUUGCAACCUCUUUUCUCACUACUUUUAUCUUAAAUUUUGGCCAAUUUACAUAAAAAAUUCACAAGUUUUGAGCUUUUGCAAACUAGGCCGUCUUUUCCGAUUUUGCAGAUUCAAUCCGAAUUUUCAACAAAUUGACCAAAAUAUCCUUAUACCUUUUUCUCUUUUCUUUUUUUUUUCUCUCGCGUUCUUUUUUUUUU